UUUUAGUUUUAUCAAUCUGUUAUUUAUUUUUAGUUUAAUUCCAUUGUGGACUGAGUAUACCUUAUAUGAUUUUUAAAUUUGUUAAGGUGUGUUAUAUGGCCCAGAAUAUGGUCUAUUUUGGUGAAUGUUUUAUAAGCUUGGGAUGCAUGUGCAUUCUGAUGUUGAAUGAAGUAUUUUACAAAUGUCAAUUAGAUCCAAUUGAUUGAUGGUGCUGUUCAGUUAGUACGUACUUACUGUUUUCCUGUCAGCUGGAUCUGUCAGUUAUUGAUAGAGUGGUGAUCAAGUCUCCAACUAUGCUUGUGGUUGUGUCUAUUUCUCCAUGAAGUUCACUCAUUUUGGUCUCAAGUAUUUUGACAUGUUAUUGUUAGGUGCAUAAAUAUUAAGGACUGUUAUACCUUCUGGGAGAAUUGAUCCCUUUAUGCUUCUGUAAUGCCCUCUCCCCUAAUAAUUUCCCUUGCUCUGAAGUGUAUUUUGUCCAAAAUGAAUAUCAUUACUCCAGCUUUCUUUUGCUUAGUGUUAGCAUGAUAUAUCUUUCAACAUCCCUUUGUUUUUUAACCUAUUUAAGUUUUAUAUUCUACUAUUUUUGUAACUGGUUUUGUUUUGUUUGUCGUGCACUUUUUCUGCCUUCUCUGGUGUGGUUAAAUGUUUUAUGAUUCCAUUUUCUCACUUCUCUUAGCAUAUCAAUUAUUUUUGUAAAAAAAAUAAGUGUUUAGAAAUUUUUAAUAUAUAUUUCUAAGCAUUCUAAGUCCACUUUCACAUAACACUGUACUGCUUCCUGGGUAGUGCAGACUCCUUAUAACAGAACGUCCCCAGUUCAUUCCUCCUGUCCCUAACAUUGUUGUUACUCAUUUCAUAUCACUUCAUUUCCCUUCAUUUCACAUUCAUGAGUUAAAAUCAACAAAUAUGUUGUUAUUAUUAUUUUUAAGAACAUAUAUGUUAGAUCAAUUAAGAACAUAAAAAAUAUUUUAUUUUACCUUCAUUUAUUUCCUUCUCUAAUGUUAUUCCUUUCUUUGUGUAGGUUUGAAUUUCUGACCUGUAUGAUUGUUCCUCUCUCAGAAGAACUUUUAACACUUCUUGCAAAGCAGAUUUACUGGCAACAAACAAAUUUCUUCAAUUUUUGUUUGUCUGAGAAAGUCUUUAUUUUUCUCUCACUUUUGGGUGAUGAGGUUGCUGGUAAAAGUGUCCUUUGAGGCCAGGCCUUUGUUUAGAAGGGCAGAAUAUUAUGAGCAUAUUUCCAAAUGGUUCCUAUUUCCCUCCUCCUGCCAGAAACAUGACAGGAUUUUACUACUCUACCAGAUAAAGUGGAAGACAAACAAUGCUUUGACUGAGACUUCAAAUCCAAGAAGAAGACAACAGCAAGCAAGUGCUUCCAUGGUCCACACUAAGGCUCCAUACCUCAACAGGUGCAACAAAGGAGGGAUUGAGAGAGGAGAUAUUGAUUCUAAAUGAAAUUGAGUUUUAACAAUUGCAUGGAUCUGGACAUUUUCAUUACUGAAAUAAAGCAGGACAAGAUAUGGGGGCUACCUUAGAUGUCACCAAAGAACAGGAAAUAACUAGAUCCAUGGAAAAGUUUUGAACAGGCAAAGGGGAAACUGAAUACAAUUGUUUUCUGCUUGCAGCAUAUGGAGACAUUCUUUCAGUGUAAAGUUACAGGAAAUUGCUGGUGUUUAGCGCCAUCCAAAAUCAGGGUCCAUUUUAACCAUAAACUCCAUUCGUAAACAUACCAAUUAACUUCAAGACUCAGUUUAAGUAUCAUACCUUCUAAAACACCUGUAACCAUCCCAGUUCUCAAUGACUAUCAAAUUUUCGGAACUCUUAUAACACAGAUUUUCUCUAACUUCUACUUGAAUUUGAUAUAAAAUACCUCGUGUUGAUUUUUUUUACUGCUUUAAUGAGAUAUAGUUAACUCAUAAUAUUUAUUGUUUAAUAUUUAUUUAUCAACAUAUGUAUAUAUCUAUAUAUUUGUGGAUCUAUCAUCACCAUCAAGAUAGUGAACUUACCUCAAUCCCCAAUGCUUUCCCAUUAGCCUUUAUAAUUCUUCCCUCUCAUCCCUCUGCACCAUCUCCUACCCACAGGCAACAACUAAUCCAGUUUCUGUCAACAUAGAUCAGUUUGCAUUUUCAGGAAUUUUAUAUAAAUGGAAUUCUAUAUGCAUAUUAUAUUUCAUAUAAUACAUAUAUGUUACAUAUACAUAUUGUGUGUGUGUGUGAAAGGGAAAACGAGAGAGAGGAGAGAGAUUGAGAGCUGGAGAUCUGAUGGCGCAGAUCCCAGUACAGGUCUGAAGAUGGGAGUAUCAGGAGCACUGUAGACAAGAGAUAAAUGUCCCAGUCAAGUAGACAAGCAGAAAGUGAAUUCAGUUUUCCUCCAUCGUUUUGUUCUAAUUAAGGUUAGGAAAAAUCCCCAAAUACCUGGAAACUACAAGAUUUUUUAAAUAACCUGUUUUCUCUAACUUUUACUUUAUAAUUAAGUACACAUGAAAAGAACCAUGAAACCAUGAAAAGGGCCAAAGAACACAUGAAAAAAAUUAGAAAGUAUUUUGAAGUGAAUAAAAAUGAAAUUUCAACAUAUCAAGAAUUUUGAGAUGCAGCUACAAAUGUAUUUAGAGACA